rnacentral:rRNA from 1 species
CCUACGGGUGGCACCAGUGGGGAAUAUUGCACAAUGAGCGCAAGCCUGAUGCAGCCAUGCCGCGUGUAUGAAGAAGGCCUUCGGGUUGUAAAGUACUUUCAGCGGGGAGGAAGGUGUUGUGGUUGAUAACCGCAGCAAUUGACGUUACCCGCAGAAGAAGCACCGGCUAACUCCGUGCCAGCAGCCGCGGUAAUACGGAGGGUGCAAGCGUUAAUCGGAAUUACUGGGCGUAAAGCGCACGCAGGCGGUCUGUCAAGUCGGAUGUGAAAUCCCCGGGCUCAACCUGGGAACUGCAUUCGAAACUGGCAGGCUAGAGUCUUGUAGAGGGGGGUAGAAUUCCAGGUGUAGCGGUGAAAUGCGUAGAGAUCUGGAGGAAUACCGGUGGCGAAGGCAGCCCCCUGGACAAAGACUGACGCUCAGGUGCGAAAGCGUGGGGAGCAAACAGGAUUAGAUACCCGCGUAGUC